rnacentral:rRNA from 1 species
UACGAGGGGGGCAAAUGUUGUUCGGAAUCACUGGGCGUAAAGGGAGCGUAGGCGGGUUUCUAAGUCAGGUGUUUAAUCCCGGGGCCCAACCCCGGACAGGCACUUGAAACUGGGAAUCUUGAAUAGUGGAGAGGUCAGUGGAAUUGGGGGUGUAGCGGUGGAGUGCGUAGAGAUCCCCAAGAACACCAGUUGCGAAGGCGGCUGACUGGACACAUAUUGACGCUGAGGCUCGAAGGCAUGGGGAGCAAACAGG